rnacentral:rRNA from 1 species
UGAAGAUAAGACGGAUUAGCGGCGGACGGGUGAGUAACACGUGAGUAACCUGCCUUUUACACAGGGAUAGCCUCGGGAAACCGGGAUUAAAACCUGAUGAAACUAUCAAAUCACAUGAUUAAGAAAGUUAAAACUCCGGUGGUAAAAGAUGGACUCGCGUCCCAUUAGCUAGUUGGUGAAGGUAACGGCCCACCAAGGCAACGAUGGGUAGCCGGCCUGAGAGGGUGAACGGCCACAUUGGAACUGAGAAACGGUCCAAACUCCUACGGGAGGCAGCAGUU